rnacentral:rRNA from 1 species
AGAGUUUGAUCAUGGCUCAGGACGAACGCUGGCGGCGUGCUUAACGCAUGCAAGUCGAACGGAAAGGCCCCUUCGGGGGUACUCGAGUGGCGAAUGGGUGAGUAACACGUGGGUGAUCUGCCCUGCACUUUGGGAUAAGCCUGGGAAACUGGGUCUAAUACCGAAUAGGACCGCAUGCUUCGUGGUGUGUGGUGGAAAGCUUUUGCGGUGUGGGAUGGGCCCGCGGCCUAUCAGCUUGUUGGUGGGGUAAUGGCCUACCAAGGCGACGACGGGUAGCCGGCCUGAGAGGGUGUCCGGCCACACUGGGACUGAGAUACGGCCCAGACUCCUACGGGAGGCAGCAGUGGGGAAUAUUGCACAAUGGGCGCAAGCCUGAUGCAGCGACGCCGCGUGGGGGAUGACGGCCUUCGGGUUGUAAACCUCUUUCAGUAUCGGCGAAGCUCCAGGAUUUUUCUUGGGGUGACGGUAGGUACAGAAGAAGCACCGGCCAACUACGUGCCAGCAGCCGCGGUAAUACGUAGGGUGCGAGCGUUGUCCGGAAUUACUGGGCGUAAAGAGCUCGUAGGUGGUUUGUCACGUUGUCUGUGAAAACUCACAGCUUAACUGUGGGCGUGCGGGCGAUACGGGCAGACUGGAGUACUGUAGGGGAGACUGGAAUUCCUGGUGUAGCGGUGGAAUGCGCAGAUAUCAGGAGGAACACCGGUGGCGAAGGCGGGUCUCCGGGCAGUAACUGACGCUGAGGAGCGAAAGCGUGGGGAGCGAACAGGAUUAGAUACCCUGGUAGUCCAA